AGUUGGUGGAGUGAUUUGUCUGGUUAAUUCCGUUAACGAACGAGACCUUGACCUGCUAAAUAGUCAGACGAUUCUCGAAUCGCUCACGACUUCUUAGAGGGACUGUUGCGUGUUUAACCAAAGUCAGGAAGGCAAUAACAGG
rnacentral:rRNA from 1 species